UUUCAGAUUCCCCUUUCUGUUGGCUAACUAUAGUUUACAUAGACAUACUUGUCAAGGAAAUAUCUUCUUUAAGACCUAUUGAUAUUUCACCAAACAAAAGAGAAAAACCUUCUCGUUGUUUGUACGCUUUUUUGAUAUGAUUAUCUUUUCUGUUGCAAGAUUGUGCUUUUUUGAAAGGUUAUAUCUAUCUCUUUCAUUGCAAAAUUAUCUGUGUAGCAAAAAGGCAUAUAGAAUUUGUCAGAUUGCAUCGUAGAAUUGUGUAUCAAGUUGGUUUUAUGCAUUAUCUCUCAUUUUCACUUGCAGGAAGAAUCACUAGCUUGUUUUGAGAUCAUGGGCAUACUAAUUUUUUUUACUCAAUAAUAGUAAUCUGAAAGUCCAGUAGGAUCUUGUUUCAUUUAUAUUACUUCAUUGAGCAAGUGGUUACAGGCAUCAUCUCCCAAUUUCACUUGCAGAAAGAACUCCUAGCUUGUUAGUCUCUUAUUGUUCAGGUCAUGGGCAUAAUUUGUUUUUUUACCCAAUAAUAGUAAUCUGAAAGUCCAGUUGGACCUUGUUUCAUUGAUACUAUGUUGAGCAAGUUGGUUACAUGCAUCAUCUCCCAAUUUCGCAUGCAGGAAGUAAUCCUAGCUUGUUUGUCUCUUAAUGCUUAGAUCAUGGCCAUACUUUGUUUUGUUUUGUUUUUUACCCAGUAAUAGUAAUCUGAUUGAAAGUCCAGCAGGAUCUUGUAAUUGCAUGAUGUAUUGGUGGAUUUGGGUAUUUGAAUUGGAUCGCUUUAGGAUUAGGGUUUUGUAUUUGUUGCGGGAAAUCCAUUUCCUUAUUCAAUUAUCAUCUUUCUAUAUCCCAUCAUUGUAGACUUAGGGUUUAAAUUUCAUUUAUCAAGUACUUUAUUGCGAUUUUUAUUUUUCCAGUUAUACGAUAAUUAGCAUGUUUUUUAUCAAGGUUUUAGAUAUCUUAUUUGAUUUGAUCCUGUACGAAUGCCCUGGGUACACCUAUUCUAAAGCAGCAGCUGUUUUUUCUUUUAAUUUAUCUUUUCCAUUAUUGCUGCUUAACAUAGUACUUAGCAACUUUAGUAGAUUCCCUUUAUGUAAUGCUUAUUCAAUUGAUUUAGAUGGCUCUGUGUUUGUUUCUAACUACAAAUUCUAUCUUGGCAUUCCCUUUUUUAUUGCUGGUACUUUGUAUUAUCUUCAGAAGAUAAGUAGAGAGGCUCACUCAAGGAAUGUGUAUAUAUUUUAACACGGCACCGUUCCUAAGACUUAUGGUGAUGCAUGGGGGUGCAUUUGGUUCGCGAAUUGUAAUCACAAUGAGCCUGAAUGGAACUGGAAUGACUUCAUCCCUGUGUGCAUUUCCCUUGACAAGUGGAAUUGCAAAUGACGUUGAAACUUGAACUCUGAUUUUCUUGAAGGAUUGAUAAGCUCGUUAAUUGAUUGGCUACAAUAUGUGAUUUUAUUAUUGCCAUGGGGGUCGUUGUGAUCUAAUGGUGUAUUUUGGCCUCUUCUUUUUUGCAAUUAGUAGCUUUCCUUUGUUUAAAUGCGUUUUUAUUUGAAGGUUAUUUCAUAGAAUAUGCAGCUUUCUGACAACUUGAUUUGGUGCACCUGAAAUAUUUGCUGUUCCUUUUGGCCUUAAUUGGUUUAUGACGUAGCAUUCUUUCGCUUAUUGUAUAUUAUACACUAUAAAGCUUGUUAAUAAUUUAGCUUCUCUAUAAAACUUAUUAAAUUUCACUGCAGACUUCAUUGCUUGCCCUCGAUGAUUCCAUUUUGGAUGCCGAUCAGGUAGAAAAUCUUAUUAAAUUUUGUCCAACAAAGGAGGAAAUGGAUCUACUCAAGCUUGACAGGUUUCUGUUGAAGUUUCAGGGGUAUGAUGGUGUCAUGGUGAUAAAGAAAACUUGGGGAAAUGUGAGCAGAGUUGAUGAAAGUACCAAGGGUGGAGUCCAAAUUGAGAGUCUUAUCCUUUAUGAUUCAAUUCCGAUCUCAGGUUGGUGAACUCAAAAAUAGCUUGAAUGCCAUUAACUCUGCAUCAGAAGAGGUCAGAAGCUCUGUGAAGUUGAAAAGAAUUAUGCAGACCAUUCUCUCUCUAGGAAAUGCUUUAAACCAGGAAAAACUAGGGAUUUAAGCAACAAGCAGGAUUUGACGUUCGCAUUUCAAGAAUGUUUAGCUCGAGCUUUUCACUUUUCUUUUUCUUAGCUUUCUAAUAUUUGGGGUUCAAAUAAAUUUUCUAUUGCAUUGAUUUCUAUUAGAACAUAAACACUUGUUUUGUUGCAUUUUAUCUCUGCUCUAGAUCAUUGCUUAUAGUUUUGUUUCAAGAAUGAUUGUAUUAUUUUAUUGCAAUUUAGUAAUAUGGCUCUUUUUUUUUCGGAUA